rnacentral:rRNA from 1 species
UACGGAGGGUGCAAGCGUUCUCCGGAUUCACUGGGUUUAAAGGGUGCGUAGGUGGGCAGGUAAGUCAGUGGUGAAAUCUCCGAGCUUAACUCGGAAACUGCCGUUGAUACUAUUUGUCUUGAAUAUUGUGGAGGUAAGCGGAAUAUGUCAUGUAGCGGUGAAAUGCUUAGAUAUGACAUAGAACACCAAUUGCGAAGGCAGCUUACUACACAACGAUUGACGCUGAGGCACGAAAGCGUGGGGAUCAAACAGG